CAGCUGCAUUUGAAGUGUCCAUUAAACCUACAAAGCAGUCAAUACAAACUGAAAUCUAUUAGCAUACAAAUGUGUGCAAAUGAUCUUUUCAGACCUAAGAUAUGAAUAAAGUCCAUGGAAUGGAUAUAGACAAAAAGAGAAUUCAAGGACUAGCAGAGGUAGAGAGGCGAGGCAGGGGGAGGACAUCAUCCUGCUAUUUUGACAGUCCCUGAAGGACAAUACAGAAGAGGGAUUUGCUCUUAUUCCUUCCCUUUCUCUAAUGUAUUUUGUAAUAAAAUUAGCAAGUGUAGUAAGAUCAAUGCUUUACUAGGACUGGAGACCACAGCAGCGAUUCUGCUCUUGCCCUACCUCUUCAAAGAGGACCCGAGUGGCCUUUAUGUCCGUGACAUGAUUUCACCGCUCUUCACUCCUUUACUGCACAUCGGUGGAAAUCCAUUUCACCAUGAGAGUGAAAUCCCGCUGGCCUUUGAUGGGGAGAACAUCCACGCCCUCGAGGACGUCUCCAUGGGACUUGGGGCUCUGCUAGGGCUGUAUUU